UUCCUGAUUUCGUGGUGGUCCCUUAUCUGACUUCCCUCCUCGAAGGAGCUCGGGCGGCGUUAGGCUAGCUCGUCGGCAGCGGGGGACGCGGUGGCUGAGCUGAGGGGGGCGCGAGAGGACGUCAAACAGCUACUGAAGGAGAAGUCUUGCUAUCCCAUCCUGUGACGGGACUGACACUGCUAGUACCACAGAGAGGUCGUACCGAGAGGGAUUGACCCGCAGGCAGCAGCCUAGGUGCCAGAAGUUGCUGCAUCUAGAGGGAUUGACCCACAAGCAGCACCGAGAGGGAUUGACCCACAAGCCGCCGUUAGUUGCUGCACCGAGAGGGAUUGACCCACAAGCAGUAGCCUAGGUGCCAGAAGCUGCCGCACCGAGAGGGGUUGAGGUCGUUAAUUGCUGCACCGAGAGGGAUUGACCCACAAGCAACAGCCUUAUGCGAUAUUUGUUUUUGUUCUUGCGUGUUCUGUUGGAAUUGGAGCUCCAACAAAUUAUAGCGCAGCUCCAUGCAUACUCUACCUGGCUGUGAGAAUGAGUUCAAGCAAGAUGAGCGACCAUUUGCACGGAUAUCUUGAAGGAGAAGGAGGUGCCGAAAGGGGAUGGGAGCAACAAGUUUGAUUCAAAAGAGUUAGUUAAUGGACCAUUAGUGGUCGUGCUAGAUAGGAGGGGGCACGGAAGUGCUUACGGUUGUUCGAGCAAAAUGGAAACCAUCAGGCUUAGUUUUGAAGCAGCAGGCAGCCCCAUCAGAUCGGCCAGGGUGCUAAAUUAGGAAAUACACAAUGGACACACCUUGAUCCAUGUAAAUUCUAGCUUCUUCAUCAGGCUCAUGGUAUGCAGGUUCUCUAGUAUGCAAUGGAUCCAAGCAGUCUAGCAGGCAAUAUAUUGGUUAGACAGAACUACAUCUAACUUAUGUAUGACGACCUUUAUAUGUGAACGAAAAUAUGUGUUUUACCAUGUAAACUUGUAUGUUCAACAAUGGGCUCAAAAUUUCCAUAU